AUGAGCAAGGAUCUCUUUCCUGAGUUGGAAAAAUGAAUAGACAAGAAUUAUUGCUGGAUUUAACUGGUGACAGACAUGUCUAAGGAAUAUUGCAGGGAUUUGAUCCCUUUAUGAAUCUUUUGAUUGAUGGAUGUGUGGAGAUUGCAACUAGUGGGUAACAGAAUGAUAUUCCUCAUGGUGAUAUGAGGAAAUUGUAUCAUGUUAGAAGCCUUG
rnacentral:lncRNA from 1 species